rnacentral:rRNA from 1 species
UGCAGUCGGAGGCAGCACGGACUUCGGUCUGGUGGCGAGUGGCGAACGGGUGAGUAAUGCAUUGGAACGUACCGAGUAGUGGGGGAUAACUAGUCGAAAGAUUAGCUAAUACCGCAUACGCAUUGAGAUGGAAAGCGGGGGAUCUUAGGACCUCGCGCUAUUUGAGCGGCCAAUGUCUGAUUAGCUAGUUGGUGGGGUAAAGGCCUACCAAGGCGACGAUCAGUAGCGGGUCUGAGAGGAUGAUCCGCCACACUGGGACUGAGACACGGCCCAGACUCCUACGGGAGGCAGCAGUGGGGAAUUUUGGACAAUGGGCGAAAGCCUGAUCCAGCCAUGCCGCGUGUCUGAAGAAGGCCUUCGGGUUGUAAAGGACUUUUGUCAGGGAAGAAAAGGUGAUUGCUAAUAUCAGUCGCUGAUGACGGUACCUGAAGAAUAAGCACCGGCUAACUACGUGCCAGCAGCCGCGGUAAUACGUAGGGUGCGAGCGUUAAUCGGAAUUACUGGGCGUAAAGCGAGCGCAGACGGUUUGUUAAGCAGGAUGUGAAAUCCCCGAGCUCAACUUGGGAACGGCGUUCUGAACUGGCAAGCUAGAGUAUGUCAGAGGGGG